UACAGAGGGGGCAAGCGUUAUUCGGAAUUAUUGGGCGUAAAGGGCGCGUAGGCGGCUUGGCAAGUGGAUGGUGAAAUCCCUCGGCUUAACCGAGGAACUGCCGUUCAAACUGCUUCGCUUGAGACCGGGAGAGGUGAGUGGAAUUCCCAGUGUAGCGGUGAAAUGCGUAGAUAUUGGGAGGAACACCAGUGGCGAAGGCGGCUCACUGGACCGGUACUGACGCUGAUGCGCGAAAGCGUGGGGAGCGAACAGG
rnacentral:rRNA from 1 species